rnacentral:rRNA from 1 species
AAAUUGAAGAGUUUGAUCAUGGCUCAGAUUGAACGCUGGCGGCAGGCCUAACACAUGCAAGUCGAACGGUAACAGGAAGCAGCUUGCUGCUUUGCUGACGAGUGGCGGACGGGUGAGUAAUGUCUGGGAAACUGCCUGAUGGAGGGGGAUAACUACUGGAAACGGUGGCUAAUACCGCAUAAUGUCGCAAGACCAAAGAGGGGGACCUUCGGGCCUCUUGCCAUCAGAUGUGCCCAGAUGGGAUUAGCUUGUUGGUGAGGUAACGGCUCACCAAGGCGACGAUCCCUAGCUGGUCUGAGAGGAUGACCAGCCACACUGGAACUGAGACACGGUCCAGACUCCUACGGGAGGCAGCAGUGGGGAAUAUUGCACAAUGGGCGCAAGCCUGAUGCAGCCAUGCCGCGUGUAUGAAGAAGGCCUUCGGGUUGUAAAGUACUUUCAGCGGGGAGGAAGGUGUUGUGGUUAAUAACCGCAGCAAUUGACGUUACCCGCAGAAGAAGCACCGGCUAACUCCGUGCCAGCAGCCGCGGUAAUACGGAGGGUGCAAGCGUUAAUCGGAAUUACUGGGCGUAAAGCGCACGCAGGCGGUCUGUCAAGUCGGAUGUGAAAUCCCCGGGCUCAACCUGGGAACUGCAUUCGAAACUGGCAGGCUUGAGUCUUGUAGAGGGGGGUAGAAUUCCAGGUGUAGCGGUGAAAUGCGUAGAGAUCUGGAAGGAAUACCGGUGGCGAAGGCGGCCCCCUGGACAAAGACUGACGCUCAGGUGCGAAAGCGUGGGGAGCAAACAGGAUUAGAUACCCUGGUAGUCCACGCCGUAAACGAUGUCUACUUGGAGGUUGUGCCCUUGAGGCGUGGCUUCCGGAGCUAACGCGUUAAGUAGACCGCCUGGGGAGUACGGCCGCAAGGUUAAAACUCAAAUGAAUUGACGGGGGCCCGCACAAGCGGUGGAGCAUGUGGUUUAAUUCGAUGCAACGCGAAGAACCUUACCUGGUCUUGACAUCCACAGAACUUUCCAGAGAUGGAUUGGUGCCUUCGGGAACUGUGAGACAGGUGCUGCAUGGCUGUCGUCAGCUCGUGUUGUGAAAUGUUGGGUUAAGUCCCGCAACGAGCGCAACCCUUAUCCUUUGUUGCCAGCGAUUAGGUCGGGAACUCAAAGGAGACUGCCAGUGAUAAACUGGAGGA